AUUGAACGCUGGCGGCAGGCUUAACACAUGCAAGUCGAGCGGAGUGAUGGUGCUUGCACUAUCACUUAGCGGCGGACGGGUGAGUAAUGCUUAGGAAUCUGCCUAUUAGUGGGGGACAACAUCUCGAAAGGGAUGCUAAUACCGCAUACGUCCUACGGGAGAAAGCAGGGGAUCACUUGUGACCUUGCGCUAAUAGAUGAGCCUAAGUCGGAUUAGCUAGUUGGUGGGGUAAAGGCCUACCAAGGCGACGAUCUGUAGCGGGUCUGAGAGGAUGAUCCGCCACACUGGGACUGAGACACGGCCCAGACUCCUACGGGAGGCAGCAGUGGGGAAUAUUGGACAAUGGGGGGAACCCUGAUCCAGCCAUGCCGCGUGUGUGAAGAAGGCCCUCUGGUUGUAAAGCACUUUAAGCGAGGAGGAGGCUCUUUUGGUUAAUACCCAAGAUGAGUGGACGUUACUCGCAGAAUAAGCACCGGCUAACUCUGUGCCAGCCGCCGCCGUAA
rnacentral:rRNA from 1 species